UUUAUAUGAUUUUAAUUUCUUCAAUCUCAACCAUUAGUUUCUUAUGUAUGGUUUUCUCAAAGUUUGUAUAAAUUCUGUUAGAUAUCAUUUAGCAAUAGUAUAGUAACUCCUCGACAUUUACAUUGGGAUAAGAAAGUAAUAAUCAAAUUUAUUUUGGGAAGAUUUUGAAUGAAAUAAGAGUUUCUUUGAUGUCGAAGCAAGCUGAAAUAUAUGCAGGUGAAUACUGGUUACUGGUAAUUUUGGUACUGAUAUGGCUGGCUUGUACUUGUGGAUAUCUAGACUCAUGAAUACAUUUUUUGGCUGAUCUUCUACAUAGCGUUCUGAAUAUGCCUUUAAUGCAGGGGGCUCAAGAUGCAGAGAAGGCAAAAUUGUAUUAGAUUGUUAAGAAAGGUGGUCCAAGUCUUAUUCAAAAUAUGGUUCUCACUUCUGUAAUUUUGAAAGCCAAGGAGCUGGAUGCACCCAAAGAAAUUUUGUAGCGCAACAUUAAGAGAGCUAUUGAGAAGGGACAAGACACUUACAUUGAGAAAAUUUACAAGCUGUUAGAAGAGGUCGUGAAGGACUAUGGAGGAAAGAUGGCACCUGCAGGAUCUGUUAUGUUCAAGUUCAAAUGUGUUCGUGUUGUAAAUAUAAAAGUCACGGAUGCUGACAAAGCCCAGGUCCUUGUCAUUGCUUUAGAUGCUGAUGCUGAGGAUGUUAUCAAGCCUACUGUUUAUGAAGAUGAUGUUGAUGAAGCUAUUAUAAAUUUGCAAGUUCAGCGGAGAACUACCCAUCUAUACUAUCAAAACUACGCGAGGAAGGAAUAAAAUUUGAGACUGAUAGUGGUUCUCAACUGCUUCCCCUAACCACUGUAGGGGUAUGUUUCUGGUCUUCACUUGGUUCUCUACCCUGUAUACUCUCUUUAAUUGGAAAUUAGUUUUUGGACAAUAUUAUAUGCAUCUAGUCUUAAGUAUUUAAUUAAGUUAUUAAAUGAUAUAUCAUCAUUUAAUUGAGUGACAUUUUAUUUUUAAUUUAAAAUCACUCAAUCAUAUGAUGACAUAGUAUCUGAAUAUCCGAUUUGGUACUUAAAAUUAGAUGCUUAUAAUUUUAUUGUUUGUUUAUUUCCUUGUUAGUUUGUGGAAUGGUAAAAUUUGUGGC